UAAUACAGAGGGUGCGAGCGUUAAUCGGAAUUACUGGGCGUAAAGCGUGCGUAGACGGUUAUUUAAGUCGGGUGUGAAAGCCCCGGGCUCAACCUGGGAAUUGCAUUCGAGACUGAAUAGCUAGGGUACGGUAGAGGGAAGCGGAAUUUCCGGUGUAGCGGUGAAAUGCGUAGAUAUCGGAAGGAACAUCAGUGGCGAAAGCGGCUUCCUGGACCAGUACCGACGUUCAGGCACGAAAGCGUGGGGAGCAAACAGGAUUAGAUACCCUGGUAGUCCACGCCCUAAACGAUGUCGACUGGUUGUUGGGGGUUUGACACUCUCAGUAACGAAGCUAACGCGUGAAGUCGACCGCCUGGGGAGUACGGCCGCAAGGUUA
rnacentral:rRNA from 1 species